AUGCUGGGGGGAAACGGGGCAGGAAUGGGCACCAGAGCUGGAAGCGGGCGGUCGGGCAACGGCACCGGACUGAACAGCCUCCAGGUGAACACCGCCGGACCGGGACCGGGGACCACCGCAGCCGCGGAGAGCGACGGAGGCCGGUUUGAGGACCGGGAGUACGGCACCGAGGUGCCCUACAGCGGCUCCGAGCAGGAGUCCGACUCCGGGGAUGACGAGGACACCCCGGGUUCAGGCGGGGACAGGAGGGGGGUGAAGCGCGAGAGGUCCGAGCGGGAGGUCGGGCAGUCAGCGCCGAACUCCGGAGGCCUGUCCGGGGGUUACGGCGGGGUCAGCGCCGGGGUGACGGGGGCCAAGCCGGGCAAGAAGACCAGAGGACGGGUCAAGAUAAAAAUGGAGUUCAUAGACAACAAACUCCGGCGGUACACAACUUUUAGUAAGAGGAAGACUGGCAUCAUGAAGAAGGCGUACGAGCUGUCGACGCUGACGGGCACCCAGGUGCUGCUGCUGGUGGCGAGCGAGACGGGACACGUGUACACGUUCGCCACCCGGAAGCUGCAGCCCAUGAUCACGUCGGAGACGGGCAAGGCCCUGAUCCAGACCUGCCUGAACUCGCCCGACUCGCCGCCCCGCUCCGACCCCUCCUCCGACCAGAGGAUGAGCGCCACCGGCUUCGAGGAGACCGACCUCACCUACCAGGUGACCGAGGCCGACGGCUCGGAGGUUGCCAAGGAUCUGAUCAAACCGGCGUUCACCAUGGCCAGCCUGCCGGGCGCCGCCGCCUCGCAGCCCACGCCCUCCUCCGCCCCCUCGGCUUCCUCUGCCCCCUCCUCCUCCUCCUCCCUGUCCUCGGGGGCCAUGCAGGUGCAGACCAGCGCCCCCUCCUGGCAGGUGUCAUCAGCCGCCGCCUCCUCCACCAACGGGACAGUGCUGAAGACGUCGGGCGGCGUGGUUUUGCCCGGAGGCUUCACCCUCAUGUCCGGUGCCCCGCUCCCCCCCGGCACACACACCAUCCCCCUCAGCCAGCUACAGGCUCCGCCCCUCGCCAUCCAGGGCACCGUGGGUUCGAGCCCGGCUAGCGUGCACGCCCCGCCCCCCCAGCCGGCCACACUGCUCCGCCUGCCUGCCACCGUCUCUCUGUCAGGUGGCGGCGUGUCCCAGCAGCUGCAGACCAUCCAGGUUCAGCCCAGCAGCCAAAAGGCCUCCACCAAUCAGAGCGCCUCUGAGCUCCACAACCCCGCCUCCUCCUCAGCCAGUCUUCCUGCCUCCAUCGUCUCUUCCUCCUCCUCUUCCUCGGUCGCGGGUCACAUGAUGUAUCCGAGCGGUCACACGGUCAUGUACGCCACGUCGACGUCCUCGCUGGGUGACGGCGGCCUCACGGUGCUCAACACCUUCCCUCCGGCGGGCCACGCCCCCCCGCAUGACCCUGGCGCUGUCUCCCAGGUCUUCCUCGCCUCUCUGCCUCCGGUCGCCGCCCAGAUCCCCGUGUCGGCCGUCCAGCUGCACCCGAUGGUGAUUGGUCAGCAGGCCGGUGGCGGCGGCGGCAGCAGCAACCUGACAGAGCUGCAGGUCGUCAACCUGGACGCCCAGCAGGCUAAAGACGACUGAGCACACACACACACACACACACACACACACACACACACUUACAUACACACACACACAUACACACACACACACACAGGUUGGUUCUGAUGGCUCAGUCCACUUCCUGUUUCCUGUCACAUGUAAACACACAGCUGUCAAUCAAACGUUGUGCAACAGCUGGUCAGUGAAACACCUCUGCACACACACACACACACACACACACACUCACACACACACACACACACACACACACACACACACACAGGACCCCAUCCGCAUCCUGGUCAAACGGUCAGCUCACACACACACACACACACACACACACACACACACACAGGACCGACCCCAUCCGCAUCCUGGUCAAACGGUCAGCUC